ACAUACGCUGGAAUGGGCGGGAGACCGUUCAGCCUUUCGGGGCCGGCGUACAGGUGCUGCAUGGCUGUCGUCAGCUCGUGCUGUGAAGUGUUGGGUUAAGUCCCGCAACGAGCGCAACCCCUGCUAUCUGUUGCCAGCAAGUGAUGUUGGGGACUCAGAUGGAACUGCCGGUGACAAACCGGAGGAAGGUGGGGACGACGGUCAAGUCAUCAUGGCCCUUAUGUCCUGGGCUACACACGUGCUACAAUGGCCGGUACAGAGCGCAGCGAAGCCGCGAGGCAAAGCGAAUCGCAAAAAGCCGGUCUCAGUACGGAUUGGAGUCUGAAACCCGACUCCAUGAAGUUGGAAUCGCUAGUAAUCGCGCAUCAGCAUGGCGCGGUGAAUACGUUCCCGGGCCUU
rnacentral:rRNA from 1 species